rnacentral:rRNA from 1 species
ACUAACGCAUAUGGUGGAUGCCUUGGCUUGUUUGGCCGAAGAAGGACGCAUACUCCGCGAAAGUCGUCGGGGAGCUGAGUAACAGCUUUGAUCCGGCGGUGUCCGAAUGGGGAAACCCCCCAUGUAGAAGUACAUGGGACCCGGUAAUUUAUUACCGGGGGGGAACCUGGGGAACUGAAAUAUCUAAGUACCCAGUGGAAUAGAAAACGUAAGUGAUUCCCUUAGUAAGCGACGAGCGAACAGGGAAGAGUCUAAACCUGGAUUUAUCCAGGGGUUGCAGGACCUGAAUAUCGAACUACUUGAAGCUAGUAGAACUCUGUGGAAUAAGAGACCAAAGAACGUGAAAGUCGUGUACACGAAAGCCUCAAGUUAUCGUACAGUGUUCCUAAGUAGGUUGGGAGACGGCAAACUCCCUUCUGAAUCUGGGGUGACCACACUCCAAGACUAAAUACCAAACAAGACCGAUAGUGAACGAGUACCGUGAGGGAAAGGUGAAAAGAAGGGUGGAAGACCCCGUGAAAUAGUACCUGAAACCAUAUGCUAACAAUCAGAGAAAGCCCUGCGCGCAAGCGUACGGGUGAUCUCGUGCCUAUUGAAGAAUGAGCCUGCGAGUUUUUUCAUCAUGCAAAGCUUAAGUCCCACCGGGACGGAGGCGGAGGGAAACCGAGUCUGAAUAGGGCGUUGUCCGACUUUGUCGGAAUCAAGUAUGAUGGGAAAGACCCGAAACCGGGUGAGCUUACCAUGAUCAGGGUGAAAUCUCGUUAAACCGAGAUGAAAGCCCGCACCGAUGUAUGCUGCAAGAUGCUCGGAUGAAUUGUGGUAAGGGGUAAUAUGCCAAUCGAACCCGGAGAUAGCUGGUUCUCCCUGAAAUAUAUUUAGGUAUAGGGUCGCGUAUGAACCUGUCUGACAAAUCGCAUUCUACUGCAAGUCAUCAGACUUCGGCAAAAAGAAACAUUUAUUCUUCCUAGAAGUAGUCAAAGCUACUCCUUCGUCAGAAAUAAAGUUCUUUUUGCUCGAAUCUGACUGCCUUUCGUAACGAGUGAGAUUUGUCAGACAGGUUCUAAGCUGUAUGGGGGUAGAGCACUGAUCGGGUGCGCCUGACGCAAGUCAGGUCAUCUAGUCAAACUCCGAAUACCGUAUAGUGUUCCGCGGCACUCAGCAUCUGGGAGCUAAGUUCCAGAAACAAAAGGAAAACAAACCAGACCUACAGCUAAGGUCUCAAAUUGAAUGUUCAGUGGUUAAGGAAGUUUAUAUCCUAAGACACCUAGGAGGUCGGCUCAGAAGCAGCCAUCCUUUAAAGAAAGCGUAACAGCUCACUAGCCGUAGGGUAUAUGCGCCGAAAAUUCAUCGAGGCUAAAACAUUCAACCGAAGCUUAGGGUUUUCGUCUGCUUUUUGCAGACGGGAGCGGUAAGGGAGCGUUCUGUGUGCUUUGAAGCUCAGCCGUAAGGACUGGGUGGAGCGAUCAGAAGUGAGAAUGCAGGCAUGAGUAGCGAAAUUGGAGUGAGAAUCUCCAACUCCGAAUGACCAAGGUUUCCGCACCCACGUUCAUCGUGUGCGGGUUAGGCGACCCUAAGGUGAGCCCUGUUUUCAGGGGUAGCCGAUGGAUUACUGGUUAAUAUUCCAGUCCUUGGUAUAGAUCGUUAUUACUUGGGGAGGGACGAUGAUGGAUAAUUUGUGCCCAGCGGUGAAAGUUGGGUCUAAGCACUAAGGCAGUCUGAAUAGGCAAAUCCGUUCAGGCGUUUAUCAAAGGUGUGAUGGGUUCUUGAGCCUUCGGGCAAAGGAAUACAAAUGACUUCAGCAUCCUGGAAAAGCUUCGCAAGGAGAGAUAUAUCAAAUCGUACCGAUAACCGACACAGGUGGUCUGGUCGAGUAGACUAAGGAGAGCGGGAGAAAGUAGUUUAAGGAAUUCGGCAAAACAACUAGGCGUAAUUUCGAGAGAUGCCUUCCCCUUUGCCGCAAGGUAAAGGGGCGCAGUGAAUGAAGUGGGAUGGACUGUUUACCAAAAACACAGGUCUGUGCAAACUCGUAAGAGGAAGUAUACAGGCUGAAGCCUGCCCAGUGCCGGAAGGUUAAGUGCGAGGGUGGUUGUCGCAAGACAACUGCUUUCAAUCGAAGCCCCGGUGAACGGCAGCAGUAACUAUGAACAAAAUUGUAGUUAUAAAAGUUAGCCAAAUGCUGGAACGUCUCGUUAAGUCAACUGUACUCGUAUUACUAAAGCUUAUUGCAAGAUUUGCUUUAUAUAAUGCAGUAAAAAUCAGUUGAAUAGAGAUAAUCAGCAGGAAAGGCUAAAAACAUGUCUAAAAUAUCUCGAAUUCCAGUCCAUAUUGGAUGGUAUGUAUCAGGUUUUACUGAUGGAGAGGGAAGUUUUAACAUCUCUUUUCGAAAAAAAUCCGAUUACAAACAUCAAUGGCAACCAAUUUUGAGUUUUAAUAUUUCGCAAAAAGAUAUCACCGUUUUAUCUUUGAUAAAACAAUAUUUUGACUGUGGAAUUAUUAAGCAACGAAAAGAUGGGUUGUUCUCAUAUGAUGUUACUAUUCCAACAGCACUGGAUGAGAUAGUUGUACCUUUCUUUAAAACGUUUCCAUUUUUCUCAAAAAACAAGCAAGAAAACUUUUAUUUGUUUUCUGAAGCUGUCAAGCUGAUGGUCAAUAAAGAUCAUUUGAAUCUGGAUGGUUUAAAAAAGCUUGUUGAAAUUAGAGAAAAAAUUAAUAAGGGAAAAGGUAGAAAAAGAAAGUACACAAAAAAGAACAUGUUUUUAGAAUCCUCAGAGACUAUACGCUAACCUUUGCGCAAAACGCAAAGAUGAGAUAGUCCGACCUUCAUGGAGACAUGAAGAUUCUGCUAGAAAUAUGCAGAACUUGUUAAUCAUAAAGAUUAAUGAAGUAACAAAUGUGAACUGUUCUAUGGUAGCGAAAUUCCUCGAGUAAGGGGACCUUAUUGGGAUGAAAAUCCUUAAGGAAAACCUGGCUAUAUGCUGGAACGUCUGAGUAUCUUACACUAGUUGAAUUCGGUUGUUAUUUGGGUAUAGUGAUAAAUAAAUGUCAUUUACAUCAAGUACUAGCCCUUCAACUGAAAAUGUGUCAAGUGCAGAUAACCAGCAGGAAACAUUAC